GUCUACAGCCAUGCCACCCUUAAUGUGCUCAAUCUCGUCUGAUCUCGGAAGCUAAGCAGGGUCGGGCCUGGUGAGAACUUGAAUGGGAGACUACCUAGGAAUACCAGGUGCUAUAGGCG
rnacentral:rRNA from 1 species